AUACGAAGGGGGCUAGCGUUGUUCGGAAUUACUGGGCGUAAAGCGCGCGUAGGCGGACUGAUCAGUUGGGGGUGAAAUCCCAGGGCCUAACCCUGGAAUUGCCUCCAAUACUGUCAGUCUUGAGUUCGGGAGAGGUGAGUGGAAUUCCUAGUGUAGAGGUGAAAUUCGUAGAUAUUAGGAAGAACACCAGUGGCGAAGGCGGCUCACUGGCCCGAUACUGACGCUGAGGCGCGAAAGCGUGGGGAGCAAACAGGAUUAGAAACCCUAGUAGUCC
rnacentral:rRNA from 1 species